AUUGAACGCUGGCGGCAGGCCUAACACAUGCAAGUCGAGCGGAGCGGCAGACGGGUGAGUAAUGCCUAGGAAUGUGCCUGGUAGUGGGGGAGAACGACCGGAAAGGGGCGCUAAUACCGCAUACUCUCGGAUGAGCCUAGGUCGGAUUAGCUAGUUGGUGGGGUAAAGGCCUACCAAGGCGACGAGCCAUAACUGGUCUGAGAGGAUGACCAGUCACACUGGAACUGAGACACGGUCCAGACUCCUACGGGAGGCAGCAGUGGGGAAUAUUGGACAAUGGGCUAAAGCCUGAUGCAGCCAUGCCGCGUGUGUGAAGAAGGUCUUCGGAUUGUAAAGCACUUUAAGUUGGGAGGCGUUACCAACAGAAUAAGCACCGGCUAACUUCGUGCCAGCAGCCGCGGUAAUAC
rnacentral:rRNA from 1 species